CUGAAAAUAUCUUUGAACUAAGAUUCAAUUGACCUAGUUGCUAGUAAAUUAAACAUCAAAAGGCUGGACUCUGGAAAAAAGCAGAAUAAGUAAAAGGCUCCUCCUUCAAUUCCGUCCAUUCAUCUCCACGUUCACUAGUGUCUGCUGCUACUGCAAAUUAACAACAUACAUCAUUGACCUGUAAUUCGGGAAACAGGCAGCCGGAGCCUCAGACCCGUAGUCGCUGCCGUACUUAAAGCCGGAUUCGAUGCCAAACUGCCGGCAGGCGUCUGGCUUUGGAUUUUGGCUCCGUUUAGUUUUGUCUGGCGCUUGCCAUAUCCGAUGAUAUAAAAAUUCCGAAGACAGGGAAUUGUGAUAGGUAUCACCGCCUUUGGGAAACACCCCUCAAACAGAAUGUAAUUC
ensembl:ncRNA lncRNA:CR44673 long non-coding RNA:CR44673